rnacentral:rRNA from 1 species
UACGAGUGGUGCGAGCGUUAUUCGGAUUUAUUGGGCGUAAAGGGUGCGCAGGCGGUAUGUUAAGUCAGUCGUUAAAUCCUCCAGCCUAACUGGAGAUAGGCGGCAGAUACUGGCAUGCUAGAGGGUGGAAGAGAGAAGUGGAAUUCUUGGAGUAGCGGUAAAAUGCGUAGAUCUCAAGAGGAACACCGAUGGCGAAGGCAGCUUCUUGGUCCACAUCUGACGCUCAUGCACGAAAGCGUGGGGAGCAAACAGG